UACGGAGGGUGCAAGCGUUAUCCGGAUUCACUGGGUUUAAAGGGUGCGUAGGUGGUUUUGUAAGUCAGUGGUGAAAGCCCGGAGCUCAACUCCGGAACUGCCAUUGAUACUGCUUAACUUGAAUCAAGUAGAGGUGGAUGGAAUAAUACAUGUAGCGGUGAAAUGCUUAGAUAUGUAUUAGAACACCGAUUGCGAAGGCAGUUCACUAUGCUUGUAUUGACACUGAGGCACGAAAGCGUGGGGAUCAAACAGG
rnacentral:rRNA from 1 species